rnacentral:tRNA from 6 species
GGAGAGGUGCCAGAGCGGUAAUGGAGCAGAUUGCUAAUCUGUCAUCGGGUAACCGAUGCCAGGGUUCGAGUCCCUGUCUCUCCG